rnacentral:tRNA from 1 species
CAGCCCGUAGUGUAGUGGCCGGCACGCGACGCUGUGAACGUCGAAGUGGCGGGUUCAAAUCCCCCCGGGUUGC